GAGAGGUAACGGCUCACCAAGGCAUCGACGGGUAGCUGGUCUGAGAGGAUGAUCAGCCACACUGGAACUGAGACACGGUCCAGACUCCUACGGGAGGCAGCAGUGGGGAAUCUUGCACAAUGGGCGCAAGCCUGAUGCAGCGAUGCCGCGUGCGGGAAGAAGGCCUUAGGGUUGUAAACCGCUUUCAGUAGGGAAGAAAAUGACGGUACCUACAGAAGAAGGUGCGGCCAACUACGUGCCAGCAGCCGCGGUGACACGUAGGCACCAAGCGUUAUCCGGAUUUAUUGGGCGUAAAGAGCUCGUAGGCGGUUUGGUAAGUCGGGUGUGAAAACUCUGGGCUCAACCCAGAGAGGCCACUCGAUACUGCUAUGACUAGAGUACGGUAGGGGAGCGGGGAAUUCCUGGUGUAGCGGUGAAAUGCGCAGAUAUCAGGAGGAACACCAGCGGCGAAGGCGCCGCUCUGGGCCGUAACUGACGCUGAGGAGCGAAAGCAUGGGUAGCAAACAGGAUUAGAUACCCUGGUAGUCCAUGCCGUAAACGUUGGGCACUAGGUGUGGGUCUCAACCAACGAGAUCCGCGCCGUCGCUAACGCAUUAAGUG
rnacentral:rRNA from 1 species